rnacentral:rRNA from 1 species
GAUGAACGCUAGCGACAGGCCUAACACAUGCAAGUCGAGGGGCAACGGGGCGUAGCAAUACGCUGCCGGCGACCGGCGGAUGGGUGAGUAACGCGUAUGCAACCUGCCUUCAGCAGGGGGAUAGCCCGUUGAAAGACGGAUUAAUACCCCAUAACACAGGGGCUCCGCAUGGAGAUUAUUGUUAAAGGGAUGCUUCCUUCGGGGGUAUUCCGGCUGAAGAUGGGCAUGCGUUCCAUUAGGUAGUUGGUUGAGGUAACGGCUCACCAAGCCUGCGAUGGAUAGGGGAACUGAGAGGUUGGUCCCCCACACUGGUACUGAGACACGGACCAGACUCCUACGGGAGGCAGCAGUGAGGAAUCUUGGUCAAUGGACGGAAGUCUGAACCAGCCAUGUCGCGUGAAGGAGGACGGCCCUAAGGGUUGUAAACUUCUUUUGCAGCGGAAUAAAGUAUUCCACGUGAUGGGAUAUUGCAAGUACGCUGCGAAUAAGGAUCGGCUAACU